CAGAGGCAGAGCAAAAAAUUCAGAAAUAAUAUUGAUAUGAUUCUACUUUGUUGAAAUUAGCUACCAUUUGACUCCACAAUCAAAAAAAGAAAUUGGCUACCAUUUGGACCAUGAAGGGGUCAGACUCAGAUCGGGUAGCGGUGGUGGUAACAGCCGUAGCCGAGGCGGCGGUGGUGGAUUGAGGGGUGUAGAGUUCAGGUGGUCCUAGAAGAGUCGCGGACAUGGGAUCGAAGCAGACUCAGAUCUGCUUUGACUCGAAAAUUUCUUUUCUCCUUCAACCCCAAUCUCAACAACCUGAGAGAUAAAGCAGAUCCAGAGACCGAGUAAAGCGAUUCUGGGCUACCCAUCUCCUACCCGAGUCUCCAAGCACGCAAAUCUGCGUUUUUUCCUACUGGAAUUUGGACUGAACAUGAACGGCUGAACAACUUCAAAUUUCAGGGCUUGAGACUGAAUGGUGUCACCAUGAAUGGCUGAACAGCUUCAAAUUUCAGCCUCAGAUUACAACUGCUACUAUGUCACAUCCAAAAUUUACUCAUGCUGAAUUGGAAGGAACAAGAUAAGGAACAGAGUAAGAACAGGUGCUAUGAGAAAAAAUGUCCUUCACCACCUUUAAUCUUAUGGUGCCUUCCAAAGGAGUUUGGUGAAGGAAGACUUGCUUCAAUACUUAAUGAAUGUAUAAAGGUGCUCUUUCUGUAGAUUUAAAGAUCACUGCUAAGCGACCUGAUUUGAAGGUCAUAUCCAAGGCAAGUCAAUAUUCAAUGGUUUACUUUUGUUUUUGUAGAAUCUUUUGUUACAAUUCUCACGAUAUUUAGCUAUGAUUUUGGAAGUAGGCAGAGGAAGAGUUUUUUUUUGGUAAGCAGGCAGAGGAAGAGUAUCCUACAUAUGUUUAUGUUUGGUGAUCUAUCCCACUAAAACAUUUCUAUCAAAUCUCCUUUCCUCCUUUCUCUUCUUGAUUUUUUGUGACUUUGAGUGCAGGGUCUGCGGGAAGUAGUUCUGAGGGAAAACUUAA